GUCAUGCUUCAUAAUCCUGAAAUGAGAAGAAGCAUCUGGUGAGAGCGAGAGAGCGCUUACCGAUGGAGAGAAUCGUUGGCGGAAAAUUCAAGCUGGGGCGCAAGAUCGGCAGUGGAUCGUUCGGUGAAAUCUACUUGGCCACUCAUGUUGAUACUUUCGAGAUCGUUGCUGUCAAGAUUGAGAGUAGCAAGACUAAACACCGUCAGUUGCUUUAUGAGGCCAAGGUGUAUAAUAAUCUGCAAGGAGGGAGUGGUGUUGCAGGCAUAAAAUGGUGUGGAGUUGAUGGAGAUGACCAUAUUCUCAUCCUUGAUCUGCUGGGACAGAGUCUUGAGGACCUAUUUGUUUAUUGUGGGAGGAAGUUUUCACUGAAAACAGUGCUAAUGCUGGCUGAUCAGAUGAUUACAAGAAUUGAAUAUGUGCAUUCUAAAGGGUUUCUGCAUAGAGACAUCAAACCUGAAAAUUUUCUCAUGGGUCUUAGCAGGAAAGAAAAUCAGGUCAACAUAAUUGAUUUUGGACUUGCAAAAAGGUAUCGAGAACCCAUGACAAAUUGUCAUAUUCCUUAUAGAGAGAACAAAAACUUAACAGGCACUGCUCGUUAUGCAAGUUGCAAUACUCAUCUAGGAAUUGAGCAAAGCCGUCGAGAUGAUUUGGAGUCUCUUGGCUAUGUACUUUUGUACUUUAUGAGAGGAAGUCUUCCUUGGCAGGGUCUGAAAGCUGCCACAAAAAAGGAAAAAUAUGACAAAAUAUGUGACAAGAAGCUAUCAAUUCCAAUUGAGGUGCUAUGCAAGUCUUGCCCUCCGGAGUUUGCAUCCUACCUACAUUAUUGCCAUUCAUUAACAUUUGAUCAGCGCCCUGAUUAUGGAUUCCUGAAGCGCCUGUUUCGUGACCUGUUUAUUCAUGAAGGAUAUCAGUUUGAUUAUACAUUUGAUUGGAUGAUUCUGAAGUACCAGCGAUCACAAAGGACAAAGACACAAACCCAGUCAUCUAAUUUGCAGUGGGUUUCUGGAACCAGUCAACCAUUGUCAAUUAAUACAGACAGGCAUCAAGGGGGCAAUAAUGCUUCUAAUUUAGCUGAACUAAUGAAGCAUAGAGGAUCUAGUAAUGUUGCUUGUCCCACUGUUCACAUGCAUUUAAGGGCAACAAUGGCGCAGGAUACAAGUAAUGAUAAUCUUAUUGAGAAAAAUACCAUGGGCAAUGCAGCAAUGGCUCCUACUUCACUUUCUUUGGCCAGUGCCUUCAAAAAGAAUCCUUUAAAACUAGAGGAGCAAAAUGAAGCCACAAAUUUCAGUUAUGAACUUGGGGGCAAGACUCGUGCUUCAAGCAGUUGGUUGCCAUCAUUUAACUGCAUUUCUUCGGCCAAGUGAUUGCUGUAUGCCUGUGUGUGAAUGUGAGCAUUCCCCGAAGCUGUUACAGAGUUGCAAAGGCCAUGAAGUUUGGACUGCAUGUGGAUGGCAUUGUGUAUUUUUCUCAAGGUGACUACUAAGUGCAAACGCACUGGAUGGUGCUAGAACUUGGCCUAUGAAGGCUUGAUUGUAUCUACACAUGUAGAUGGAAAAAAUGACUAAGCCAGUUCCAUGUUUUGUUGCCAGGGAUGACAUGGUUUUACAGCUUUUAUUCUUCUGUCAAUGCAUCAUAUUUCUUUCUGUUUGAUUCAACUAGUCCUAGAGCUCGGUGUUGAGUUGCUUUAUAUUCGUAUUAUUUCAUUUCUUUGGAUAUAACUCUUGGAUGUUCACCUCAAUUAGUUUUAACCUAGGUACACAAGUCCUUCAGAAUAUGAAAGUGCAAUCUAGUGCUUCAGAUCUCGAAGGUUUAAAUGUUGGGGAUAUUGUUACCGGAGGGGUGAUGACAAAUUGACAUGCUUUUCGUUGAAAUACUACUUUCUGUUGCUGUAUGGAUUUUGCUGUCAAUUAUGUUUCCGGGGAUGCAAGGUAAUAAAUGUAGCCGUACAUGUGCAUGUUAUUUUAUUCUUUAGACAUUCCAGUAUCCUGCUAUGGUGGACUUUGUAUCAGCUUCUUUCUUGUUGAGGUAUUCUUCCAAUCCCCAACCAUGGCUUCAAAAAAUGAUGGUGCUCAAUGUAAAAAUGAUGGCUGUGAGCUAACUGUCAUGGCCAUUAUGAAUGUUAAGUAAUGGGUAAUGGACAUUGCACCCGUGAAUUGAUUUUUUGCAUUAGCAAACUUGUUAAAAACAUGCAGAUUCAAAUGUUUUUAUCCCAAAAUCCCACAUAAUGCUUCAAAUUAUUUAGUAAAUUUUAAUCCAUCUAAAAAUAAGACAUGCUACAAGUAUUGAAUCUUAUGUUGGUUUCUGUAGCUGCCAUUGGCAAGAAGCAUGUAUUUGGUACUUUAAACUACUUUAUUGAUUACAUAUGCAAUUUGAACUAAGAAAUCAGAAAUGUAAAAAAAUAUAUAAAAAAUAUAAUGUUCAUAUUUCAAACAAGAUACUUAAAUGCAUAUAGCUAUAGAAUUAGAAUGUGUUUUUAUCUCUAGAUUAGGUGUAAGAAAAACAUUUAGAAAAAAAAAAAAAGAAACAUUUUAAGGAACUUACAAUAUGCAGAUAUGUAUGUCAUUUUAAUAAAGAAAGAAGUAGAUUUUAGUUAUUAAAAAAAUAAUACUGAAAUAUUAAAGUAAAUAAACCUAAAAUUAUUUUUUUUAAAAAAUUACUAAUUAAAAUAAACCACUUAAAAUUGAGUUUCUAAGCUUUAGUAUAUGAAAGAGUGAAAAAAAAAAAAAAAAAUGCAAAGAAGGAAUCAAAAACCUAUUUUGGGCAUUCAUAGCCAGUUUGACCGUUGUCAUACACAUUCUAGGGACCUCCACUCUUGGAGAUCUCUAAAUGUUUAGGGACAUGGAGGAGCUUUCUUCUCUGUUGAUGAUGUUGGAAAGUUGUUAUUCUUCUUUCUAGAAUGGAUAGUCAUUAUUGGUUCUUAAAUUCUUUGUGAAUUUAUUUUUGUAAAUCUUUCUUUGAUCAUUUUACUAGUGCUAGCUCCAUUUUUUUGCUCCAUAAAAAUAAUUUGGAAGGCUGAAGUUCCCUAAAAAAUUAAGGCUUUUAUAUGGUUGGUUGGUUCUUAGUAGAGUUAACUUCAAUAAUAUGUUGUAGAUUAGGAGACCUUUGAAAACACUCUAUGCUGAUGUCUGCUAAUUAUGUUUUGACAGUUCAGAACAAGUUCUCAUUUGUUUUUGUACUGUGACUUUUCUUGGAAGAUGUGGAAUAAGCUUUUAGAGUUAUUGGGAGAAAGUUGGGUUUCCAGUUAAGGUGGAGAAUUCGUUGAUUAUAUUCCUUUUUCUGGUUUUGGUAAAAGCAAAGAUGCGGUCAUUGGAUGUGCAGUUCUCCCAAUGGUGUUGGGAUUAUGGCUGCAGCCUGCAACAUAAUGUGCGUAUGGUUACAGAAAAAAAAAUUGAAUCUCUCUCUUUGUUACGGGACAAGGUUCAUUAUUUAGCAUCGUUUUGGUGCGCUGGUGUUGGUUGCUUUAAAGGAGUGAGAUCCUCUUAAAUCCAACGGGAUUGGUGCUUUAUUAAUUUGAAGGGGAGCUUAGGUGCUACACUAAAGUUGUCACUAUUUGACCUAAGGUCAUGGGUUUGAGGCGUCUCUUGCAAAAAUGCAAGGAAUUAUUCUCCCAUGAAACUGGUGAAGGAUAAGCAUAGGAAUGAUUACCCCUUUCAUUUUUUCUAGACCGCCUUUGAUGUGGAAAUAUUCAAUAAAGGAGGAAGAAUGUUGGAUAUCUGAUAUGCCCUGAUAAAAUGGAGCAAGAAGUCUAAAUGGAAACCAGCUGCGUCUUAUACUGAGUGAAAUAACGGUGAUGGCAUCCAUUGGCUUUGCUUCUGUAUUUCUCCAUGAAAGAGUAAAGUCCAGUUAAAGAGAGUUGAUUACUUGAUUUAGGCACUGCAGAGAAGAGAGGGCGUCUGAUCAGGCAGCAUACCAUGUGAUUAGGUGAGUUUCUACGUGCUUAUUGAUAAUUGCGAACCAUACAUUGAACAUAAGUAUUAAAAAGAUAAUUUUUAUUUAAGAGAGAGAGAGAGAGAGAGAGAGAGAGAGAGAGUUUAAAGGGUUUCUUGAUUGUGAAAUACGAAUCAUAUAUAAAACUAACAAUUUCUUGAUUGUGAAAUGCA